rnacentral:rRNA from 1 species
AACGAACGCUGGCGGCAUGCCUAACACAUGCAAGUCGAACGAGAUCUUCGGGUCUAGUGGCGCACGGGUGCGUAACGCGUGGGAAUCUGCCCUUUGGUUCGGAAUAACAGUUGGAAACGACUGCUAAUACCGGAUGAUGACGAAAGUCCAAAGAUUUAUCGCCAGAGGAUGAGCCCGCGUAGGAUUAGCUAGUUGGUGUGGUAAAGGCGCACCAAGGCGACGAUCCUUAGCUGGUCUGAGAGGAUGAUCAGCCACACUGGGACUGAGACACGGCCCAGACUCCUGCGGGGGGCAGAAGUGGGGAAUAGUGGACAGGGGGCAAAGGCUUGAUCCAGAAACGCGGCGUGAGUGAUGAAGGCUGUAGGGUUGUAAAGCUCUUUUACCGGGGAUGAUAAAGACAGAACCGGGAAAAUAAGCUCCGGCUAACCCCGUGCCAGCCGCCGCAGUAA